UGGAGUCGAACGAACUUCCGUUAAUUGAUUAUGACGUGCUUGCACUGAAUGAGAUUUUAACACGAAGUGAGUGGCGGACGGGUGAGUAACACGUGGGUAACCUGCCCAGAAGCAGGGGAUAACACCUGGAAACAGAUGCUAAUACCGUAUAACAGAGAAAACCGCCUGGUUUUCUUUUAAAAGAUGGCUCUGCUAUCACUUCUGGAUGGACCCGCGGCGCAUUAGCUAGUUGGUGAGGUAACGGCUCACCAAGGCGAUGAUGCGUAGCCGACCUGAGAGGGUAAUCGGCCACAUUGGGACUGAGACACGGCCCAGACUCCUACGGGAGGCAGCAGUAGGGAAUCUUCCACAAUGGACGCAAGUCUGAUGGAGCAACGCCGCGUGAGUGAAGAAGGGUUUCGGCUCGUAAAGCUCUGUUGUUAAAGAAGAACGUGGGUGAGAGUAACUGUUCACCCAGUGACGGUAUUUAACCAGAAAGCCACGGCUAACUACGUGCCAGCAGCCGCGGUAAUACGUAGGUGGCAAGCGUUAUCCGGAUUUAUUGGGCGUAAAGCGAGCGCAGGCGGUCUUUUAAGUCUAAUGUGAAAGCCUUCGGCUCAACCGAAGAAGUGCAUUGGAAACUGGGAGACUUGAGUGCAGAAGAGGACAGUGGAACUCCAUGUGUAGCGGUGAAAUGCGUAGAUAUAUGGAAGAACACCAGUGGCGAAGGCGGCUGUCUGGUCUGUAACUGACGCUCAGGCUCGAAAGCAUGGGUAGCGAACAGGAUUAGAUACCCUGGUAGUCCAUGCCGUAAACGAUGAUUACUAAGUGUUGGAGGGUUUCCGCCCUUCAGUGCUGCAGCUAACGCAUUAAGUAAUCCGCCUGGGGAGUACGACCGCAAGGUUGAAACUCAAAAGAAUUGACGGGGGCCCGCACAAGCGGUGGAGCAUGUGGUUUAAUUCGAAGCUACGCGAAGAACCUUACCAGGUCUUGACAUCUUCUGCCAACCUAAGAGAUUAGGCGUUCCCUUCGGGGACAGAAUGACAGGUGGUGCAUGGUUGUCGUCAGCUCGUGUCGUGAGAUGUUGGGUUAAGUCCCGCAACGAGCGCAACCCUUAUUACUAGUUGCCAGCAUUCAGUUGGGCACUCUAGUGAGACUGCCGGUGACAAACCGGAGGAAGGUGGGGACGACGUCAAAUCAUCAUGCCCCUUAUGACCUGGGCUACACACGUGCUACAAAGGAUGGUACAACGAGUUGCGAAACCGCGAGGUUUAC
rnacentral:rRNA from 1 species